UCUUAUCAAGAGCAGGUGGAGGGACUGGCCCGAUGAAACCCGGCAACCGGCGUGUAAACGCACGGUGCUAAUUCUUGCGGAAGCUAUGCAGGGGGAGAUGA
rnacentral:ncRNA from 1 species